rnacentral:rRNA from 1 species
UACUAGAGUAGCACUCGCAUAUCAAUAAGCGGAGGAAAAGAAACUAACAAGGAUUCCCCUAGUAACGGCGAGUGAAGCGGGAAGAGCUCAAAUUUGAAAUCUUAAAGGGUUUCCCUUUACGAAUUGUAGUUUAAAGAAGUGUUUUCUGUUGAGGUUUUGGUAAAAGUUCUUUGGAAUAGGACAUCAUAGAGGGUGAGAAUCCCGUAUUUGACCUUUACUUUCAACUUUGUGAUACACUUUCAAAGAGUCGGAUUGUUUGGGAAUGCAGUCCAAAAUGGGUGGUAAAUUUCAUCUAAAGCUAAAUAUUGGCGAGAGACCGAUAGCGAACAAGUACCGUGAGGGAAAGAUGAAAAGAACUUUGAAAAGAGAGUUAAACAGUACGUGAAAUUGUCAAAAGGGAAGCGUUUGACACCAGUGUUGUUUUUCUGAAAAUCAAUUAAAGAACUGUUUAUGCUAAGCUGUUUAGACUUUAUCAGCUAUCUGUUUAGUUUUAGGCUUUUCUUUAGUGCACUUUUCAGUUAACAAGUCAACAUCAAUUUCUUUUGCUGUAAAAAAGCUUGAGGAAGGUGGCUUGAGAUUCGUCUUAAGUGUUUAUAGCCUCUUGCCUAUGCAGUCGGAGAGAUUGAGGUCUGCAGCGUAGAUCCUUCGGGGCUAAAUGCAUUUGUGCUAAGUUAUAGCAUUUUAUAGACAACUUGUUGACUAUGAUUUGUCUUGUAGCUUACUCGCUUAUGUUAUUUUACCUACGCUUAGGAUGUUGAACUACUGAGACAUAGA